rnacentral:rRNA from 1 species
GGGGUACUCGAGCGGCGAACGGGUGAGUAACACGUGAGUAAUCUGCCCCGUACUCUGGGAUAGCCUUGGGAAACUGAGAUUAAUACCGGAUAUGAAACGCAUCUGCAUGGGUGUGUUUGGAAAGUUUUUUCGGUACGGGAUGUGCUCGCGGCCUAUCAGCUUGAUGGUGGGGUAAUGGCCUACCAUGGCUUCGACGGGUAGCCGGCCUGAGAGGGUGACCGGCCACACUGGGACUGAGACACGGCCCAGACUCCUACGGGAGGCAGCAGUGGGGAAUAUUGGACAAUGGGCGGAAGCCUGAUCCAGCAACGCCGCGUGAGGGAUGACGGCCUUCGGGUUGUAAACCUCUUUCAGCAGCCACGAAGCGAAAGUGACGGUAGCUGCAGAAGAAGGACCGGCCAACUACGUGCCAGCAGCCGCGGUAAUACGUAGGGUCCGAGCGUUGUCCGGAAUUAUUGGGCGUAAAGGGCUCGUAGGCGGUUUGUUGCGUCGGGAGUGAAAACCCAGGGCUUAACUCUGGGCUUGCUUUCGAUACGGGCAGACUUGAGGCAUUCAGGGGAGAACGGAAUUCCUGGUGUAGCGGUGAAAUGCGCAGAUAUCAGGAGGAACACCGGUGGCGAAGGCGGUUCUCUGGGAAUGUUCUGACGCUGAGGAGCGAAAGUGUGGGGAGCGAACAGGAUUAGAUACCCUGGUAGUCCACA